AGGAGCUGGAGGAAAGGAAAAAGGAACGUGAAAAGCAGAACAGAAGAGACGAGAGAUUGGGAAGCUGAUACGUGAAGAGGAACAAAGAGGAAGAAGACCAAUCAAGAAUCCUUGGCCAAGAUUGAAGUAGCGGCCUAAGCAAUCGGUGAGGAUGACUCGUAGAGUUUAUCCGGUUAUGUUGGGUCGUGUCGGUCAUGCUCUGAUCUUGUAACACUGGGGGACGAUAGUCUUAGAGUUUACUUGUGAUACACUAUUUUGCCAUUAUUGUAUAAUGUACCGUUGAUUUUAUCGGAAAUGUUUUAUAACAUUGUUGAAUGAGUUUCCGCUGUGUUGAACAUGUAUUUUGAUAUUUUUGGAUUAUUCCUAAUAAAGCAUGACAAACGACUUGGUAUUC